CCUACGGGAGGCAGCAGUGAGGAAUAUUGGUCAAUGGGCGCGAGCCUGAACCAGCCAAGUAGCGUGAAGGAUGACUGCCCUACGGGUUGUAAACUUCUUUUAUAAAGGAAUAAAGUGAGGCACGUGUGCCUUUUUGUAUGUCCUUUUUGAAUAAGGAUCGGCUAACUCCGUGCCAGCAGCCGCGGUAAUACGGAGGAACCGAGCGUUAUCCGGGUUGAUUGGGUUUAAAGGGAGCGUAGAUGGGUUGUUAAGUCAGUAGUGAAAGUUUGCGGCUCAACCGUAAAAUUGCAAUUGAUACUGGCAGGCUUGAGUGCAGGUGGGGUAGGCGGAAUUCGUGGUGUAGCGGUGAAAUGCUUAGAUAUCACGAGGAACACCGAUGGCGAAGGCAGCUUACUAAACUGCCACUGACAUUGAUGCUCGAAAGUGUGGGUAUCAAACAGGAUUAGAUACCCCUGUAGUC
rnacentral:rRNA from 1 species